AGCGAACGCUGGCGGCAGGCCUAACACAUGCAAGUCGAACGAACCUGUCGGGGUUAGUGGCGGACGGGUGAGUAACACGUGGGAACGUGCCUUUAGGUUCGGAAUAACUCAGGGAAACUUGUGCUAAUACCGAAUGUGCCCUUCGGGGGAAAGAUUAAUCGCCUUUAGAGCGGCCCGCGUCUGAUUAGCUAGUUGGUUGAGGUAAUGGCUCACCAAGGCGACGAUCAGUAGCUGGUCUGAGAGGAUGAUCAGCCACAUUGGGACUGAGACACGGCCCAAACUCCUACGGGAGGCAGCAGUGGGGAAUCUUGCGCAAUGGGCGAAAGCCUGACGCAGCCAUGCCGCGUGAAUGAUGAAGGUCUUAGGAUUGUAAAAUGCUUUCACCGGGGACGAUAAUGACGGUACCCGGAGAAGAAGCCCCGGCUAACUUCGUG
rnacentral:rRNA from 1 species